AGUGAACGCUGGCGGUAGGCCUAACACAUGCAAGUUGAACGGCAGCACAGGAGAGCUUGCUCUCUGGGUGGCGAGUGGCGGACGGGUGAGGAAUACAUCGGAAUCUACUCUGUCGUGGGGGAUAACGUAGGGAAACUUACGCUAAUACCGCAUACGACCUACGGGUGAAAGCAGGGGACCUUCGGGCCUUGCGCGAUUGAAUGAGCCGAUGUCGGAUUAGCUAGUUGGCGGGGUAAAGGCCCACCAAGGCGACGAUCCGUAGCUGGUCUGAGAGGAUGAUCAGCCACACUGGAACUGAGACACGGUCCAGACUCCUACGGGAGGAAGCAGUGGGGAAUAUUGGACAAUGGGCGCAAGCCUGAUCCAGCCAUACCGCGUGGGUGAAGAAGGCCUUCGGGUUGUAAAGCCCUUUUGUUGGGAAAGAAAUCCAGCUGGCUAAUACCCGGUUGGGAUGACGGUACCCAAAGAAUAAGCACCGGCUAACUUCGUGCCAGCCGCCGCAGUAA
rnacentral:rRNA from 1 species